GAUGAACGCUGGCGGCGUGCUUAACACAUGCAAGUCGAACGAAGCACUUUAUUUGAUUUCCUUCGGGACUGAUUAUUUUGUGACUGAGUGGCGGACGGGUGAGUAACGCGUGGGUAACCUGCCUUGUACAGGGGGAUAACAGUUGGAAACGGCUGCUAAUACCGCAUAAGCGCACAGCAUCGCAUGAUGCGGUGUGAAAAACUCCGGUGGUAUAAGAUGGACCCGCGUUGGAUUAGCUAGUUGGUGAGGUAACGGCCCACCAAGGCGACGAUCCAUAGCCGACCUGAGAGGGUGACCGGCCACAUUGGGACUGAGACACGGCCCAAACUCCUACGGGAGGCAGCAGUGGGGAAUAUUGCACAAUGGGCGAAAGCCUGAUGCAGCGACGCCGCGUGAGCGAAGAAGUAUUUCGGUAUGUAAAGCUCUAUCAGCAGGGAAGAUAAUGACGGUACCUGACUAAGAAGCACCGGCUAAAUACGUG
rnacentral:rRNA from 1 species